rnacentral:lncRNA from 1 species
AUCCUGUCCUUGACUGAACUCAUGAACUCUGUGCACAUUUGUUUGCAUUCUGGCUCUCGCACAAUUCGCCAGAUAAAGAAGGGCUCUUACUGGCGUGUCUUGCUCCUAGGCUUAAUGAGACCUUUGUGGGAACACAUAUUGUAAGAUAAGAUACUUAGCAAUUUUCUCGCUGAUAAGGAGAAAACACAAUCUGAGAGGCCAGAAGUUCGCCCUCUCGGCCAUGAUAGUUCCCGCCCUAAGAUAGCUUUGCUGGACAGUUCAAGAGUUAAACUCUGAGGCCCCAGUCGCCAGCUGGGAAAGAUUGGCAUCUGUGUUCUGAUGUGGCAAACUAAGCUCUUGCAUUGCUCUUCAUAUGAUCUCACUUUUC